rnacentral:lncRNA from 1 species
CCUUCUCCUUCCUAGAAUAAUUCCUUGGGUAAGGAAGGGGUCUUUCAGAAAAUUCUUUCUUUUUUCUCUCAUCGUCCUCCUCUCUCUUUUUCUUAUCUUCCUUCUCUCUUUCCUUUUCUUUUCUCUUACUCUCUUGUUUUUCUUUCUCUUCUUCAUAUUUUUCUUUUUCACUCAACCUCUCUUUUUCUUUUCUCUCUAUUUUUCUCUCAUAUAACACUCUACCUCUUCUAGUGACAA